rnacentral:lncRNA from 1 species
CUUCUUUAAAUUAUUGACUUAGACAGUUAAUUGGUUCAGUGACUUAUCACUUUUGAAUUAUAUGGUUUUAUGAAUGUAAUAAAGGAUUUGUGGAUUUCGUGAAAUGAAAAAGGUUUUCUACCCCUCGUAGCAAGUUUUAAAAGGAACAGAUUUUUGUAUGGGAAAUAGUUUUUAAAGGUUUUCUUGUAGUUUUUUUGUGACUUAGUAUUUCAAAACCAGUUUUCGGGUAGGAAAUAUUUUUAAACUAAUAGGUGGAUUUAUGGUUAAAACUCUGAAAGUGAAUCUGAAUGUGAAUGCGGUAUGAAUGUAUGAAUAUAUGAAUGUUUGUAUGUUCAGUUGUGGUAAUUGUAUCCUGUUUAUGAAUCUUGUACUUGUGCGAUGUCGUG